UGACUGCUGGAUCAGUUGUCCUCCAGUAGUGCUGCAACCAUGGCUGCCAGGACAGCUUCCUGCUGGAAAGAUUGGCUCAUCCCAGAUGGCAGUUCUGUACUUCGCAGGCACGUGGUGUGUACAAGGUUUGGCACCCAGAGUGACCAGAAUGAAACCACAGGCUCCAGUAUCAACACGCAGCACAGACAAGGUUGGAAAAAAGAAUUUCGCACCAGGUGCAGAACUGGAAAGUUUCACAGCAAGGGUAUGAAAAAGAGAGCUGAUAACCUGGUACCCUCCUUCAGCCACCACAGUGUCCAGUCCCCAGCACCCAACUGAAGAUCACAAGCCUCAACAGAUUUAAUCCCAAGCAAAUCCCCAUGGUAAGUGCCUGCCUCAGGCUUGUCUUUUCAACUACUAGUAAUGCAGUCACCAAACCAUACACAGGUAAAACGAAAAGAAACUUGAAAAAACAGAAUUAGAGGAAAGCACAGCACAAAGGUAAGAUUUGUCAGGUUGCAUGCAAAACAGUUUAAAAAAAAAAAAGGUAAAAAUAUUGUUCCUUGUGUAUUAUGGUCACUGGAAAAAAACUCCUCUGGACAGGGCAAGGAUUCCUCUCCUGCUGAGUCCCAUGAGAAAAACCUGUGAAUUUCCAAGUGGAAUUGGUCCUCCAGCCAUACUCCAACCAGUUACCUUAGAUUUGCACAUGACUAAAACUGGUAGUAAGAAUGACUGGGACAUUUGUAGGCUGCCAGAAUCCUCUUAAGUGUGAACUUUAAGCACAAAUAUGCUCUUAAUUAACUAGAAAGGAGCUGGGAGUUGGGAAAAGAAGCCAAAACUGAGACACACCCUAAAAAACGUUCCCAGCUGGAAUAAGAAUCCCCAGCCCGAGACAUCUCUGAUCUUAGUCACACAUGGGAAACAUGGCAGCUUAAAACUAAAAAUCUAGAUGUAUUUUUUGCAGCUGUUAAGAGCAGAUGUAAAUAACAGUGAGUGUGAGAAACAGCCUGAGCUGUCUGAUGUCAUCAGUGACACUGAGGGUGCUUCACUCUGUCACUUGUGCUGGGGAGAGCAGCCCUGAAUUUUAUGGCUUUGUCUAUGAAUAGGAAGCAGUGAAGCUUACAAGAUCUAUAAAAAUAUGGGAGCUUGGUACCUGGUCAGACAUUUACCUGCUGAGAUGUGUGCAGCAGCCUAUGGUGGCACUAGGCUGGUGGCUGGAAGAUCUGAACAAGAAUUCCAAGUCCCACUAAUGCUACAUGAGCUCAAGUUUGCUUUAUGGCCACCCUGCUGUUAUCAAAAGGCUGAAAGUGCUUUUUAACUAUGGUUUUUGUUAAGAUUUUUCUCAUAGUUGGAAUUGGUGGAAAUUGCUCUUGGGUAUCUGAAUGUCUCUCCAUGAUUUGCUGUGGUUUUUGGUCACCCUUCUCAGCUGUGGUUACUGGUCAGCAGACAAAUGGUGUAGGCAUGGACAGGCCUUUGGAUAAAGUUACGUAAGACACAGGGUGACAUAUGCUUUGUUACUGACCCAGAGGUGCAGAGAAAAAAUGUGGGCAGGGUGAGUGGGGAAGGAGAUGGGCACAGGACACUAAGAGAGAAAGCAAAGAAGUGUUACCUGCUGCAUCCUGAACUAAGGGAACGUCACUU